CCUACGGGAGGCUGCAGUGAGGAAUAUUGGUCAAUGGACGAGAGUCUGAACCAGCCAAGUAGCGUGAAGGAUGACUGCCCUAUGGGUUGUAAACUUCUUUUAUAUGGGAAUAAAAUGUUCCACGUGUGGGAUUUUGUAUGUACCAUAUGAAUAAGGAUCGGCUAACUCCGUGCCAGCAGCCGCGGUAAUACGGAGGUUCCGACCGUUAUCCGGCUUUAUUGGGUUUAAAGGGGUCGUAGGUGGAUUUGUAAGUCAGUUGUGAAAGUUUGCGGCUCAACCGUAAAAUGGCAGUUGAAACUGGCAGUCUGGAGUACAGUAGAGGUGGGCGGAAUGCGUGGUGUAGCGGUGAAAUGCUUAGAUAGCACGAAGAACUCCGAUUGCGAAGGCAGCUCACUGGACUGCAACUGACACUGAGGCUCGAAAGUGUGGGUAUCAAACAGGAUUAGAUACCCUAGUAGUC
rnacentral:rRNA from 1 species